rnacentral:lncRNA from 1 species
GGAUAAAUAUUUAUUUGAAAAUGAAUAUUUAAUAGGUAAAUAAGAUGGUAAAUAAUGGUUAUAUUUUUAAGUUCAUUUAUCUAUGAUUAUUUGACCAUUUAAGUGUAGUUCUUUAUUUUUUAGUCACAUGCAUCAUUAAAAGAAAAUGAAAAUGAUUCAAAAUAUUAAAUGAGCUCUCGUAAGUCUUGAACCGAAAAAUUAGAUGGUGACAUGUUGACUGCUUACAUGGAGAAAAUAAAUAGCUCAAUGUUAGAAUCUAAACAUGGUGUCUAUAGAAAAAUUGUUUGUCUAUGAGAGAAGAAUCUCUAAUUCAAAUUUUAAAUUGAAUGUACCAGGGAAUAACAAGUUAUCAUAUUUGCAAUGGUCAGAGGUCGUUGCUGCACGUUCUAGAAAAUGAUAAAUAUUUGAACUAACUUUUUUACUUUAUCUCUUGAGCAAAACACAUAAAUCUAUUGCAGGACAAUGCCACAAGUAAAGAAAUUUAGAAAGAUUAAUAACAAUGAUUCUACUUCAAUCUACAAUGAGAAAUCUCUCUCAUGAUCAAUAAACAUUACUGUCGAAUUUUAACCCCACGUAAAUUACAUCAUCCUUCUUCAUCAACGAUUAGUGAUUAAGAAAAGCUUGAAUCUUGGAAGGAGACUCUCCAUCAAGCCCUAAGGUAAUUGAAUAAUGAGUGGAGAGUGAUUUUAGGCAAAGACACAAGGUACUUUAAGCCUUAUUUAGCCUAGAAAGGGUUGAGUUUCUACAGAGGUCAAACCUCAGGUAUUCAGCUACUAAUCCCAUUACUUUUAAUGUGUAUUUCUAAAGGAAGUAGUUAAAAACCAGUAGAAAAGAUCUUUAGGGACUGAAAGUAGUUAGGUGAGGGACGAACUAUUAUCAAAAAUCUAUUUCAUUAGUGAGGGAGAGAAACUCAUGAGAGAACCCACCUACACGUAGAUAAUCACAUAAAGCCCUAUUAGCACAUGUGUUGACACAUCUAUUAUCUAAAAAGAAAAUUCAAGAUUAUUGAAACACCAAUUUAUCCCCCCC